GACGAACGCUGGCGGCGUGCUUAACACAUGCAAGUCGAACGGAAAGGCCCUGCUUUUGUGGGGUGCUCGAGUGGCGAACGGGUGAGUAACACGUGAGUAACCUGCCCUUGACUUUGGGAUAACUUCAGGAAACUGGGGCUAAUACCGGAUAGGAGCUCCUGCUGCAUGGUGGGGGUUGGAAAGUUUCGGCGGUUGGGGAUGGACUCGCGGCUUAUCAGCUUGUUGGUGGGGUAGUGGCUUACCAAGGCUUUGACGGGUAGCCGGCCUGAGAGGGUGACCGGCCACAUUGGGACUGAGAUACGGCCCAGACACCUACGGGCGGCAGCAGUGGGGAAUAUUGCACAAUGGGCGGAAGCCUGAUGCAGCAACGCCGCGUGCGGGAUGACGGCCUUCGGGUUGUAAACCGCUUUCGCCUGUGACGAAGCGUGAGUGACGGUAAUGGGUAAAGAAGCACCGGCUAACUACGUG
rnacentral:rRNA from 1 species